GAUCUUUUCGACUCUCUUUGGGAACGUGGCUAUGGGGGUGUCACGAUGAGCUUCUGCACUUCAGAAUUUACCACUCCAUCACUGUAUUUAAAACUCCAGUUCAAGAAGCUUGAUAGCACACAUGUGGUUACAUUUUCUAAGAAGAUGGUGCGGAGGUGUUUCAACAGAAGAGAGAGAGAAUGGCUCCUUGCACAUUCUUUAUUAGGAAGUGAAACCCCAUGACUUUGCUUUGAGGCAGAGUGAAAUCAAAUUGCUUGUUGGAAAAUAAGAAAGUGUCAAAGGAGCAUGGCCAAUUGAUGCUGAUGUGAAGCAAGCUUGUCUUUUUUCUUCAGUUGCCUUUUCUUCUUCUGAUGUUUUGUUUAAUGUUCUCUGUCAGCAUCUUUCGGAGAGAGAUGGAUCGAAUUGGCGGAUAUUGUUUAUCUGCAGAGGGCUAGCACAGGGUUAUGAUGCAAGGGUACCUCCAGAUAUCCACAGAUGGUCCAAGGCAUUGUGGUGCUUGAGGAGGAAAAUCAAGAUGGCACCCCAGUAAGAAAAAUAAAAAUAUAUCUUUUA